rfam:Triticum aestivum genome assembly, contig: Triticum_aestivum_CS42_TGACv1_scaffold_129899_2BL
AUAAUACUCCCUCCGUUUGAAAUUACUUAUCUCAAAAAUGGAUGUAUCUAGAACUAAAAUAUAUCUAGAUACAUCUAUUUUUGAGAUAAGUAGUUCCAAACGGAGGGAGUAGAUC